GUGGCAAGAUCCUUGCAGAGUUCUCCAACAGCAUAGAGCUUGGGAAGCUCGGACAAAAACACAUGUUCCUUCAACUUUCUCAAACUUUCUCGAACUUUCUCCCCCACCUUAUGCUUCCACCAUCUUUGACGAAUAUGACAGCACUCACGGAAAACAUCUUUAAAGUUUAUCGCUCAACACUUCUCUCGCUCUGAAAUUAUGUCUACCCCUUAGGAAUUCUCACAAUAGAGUUUAUUGAUGGAAAGAUAUCUUCCUCUUGGAUCGCCAGAUCGGACAUGCCCAGUGGAGACGUUGACACCGCACAUGGAAUCUUUCCUCUUGGACACGAUUUUCUAUACCGAAAAAGAUACGACUUCUUGCUUCGCCAUACCCUUGGAACAUGUUCUUUGCUUCCUACCGCCAAACUUAAUUGCAUCUAAGAUAGAAUCUUCGAAAAAAUCUCUACACCAUUUGUUGUUUAGCCGCCGCUCUCACUUUCCAUUUUGG
rnacentral:sRNA from 1 species